rfam:Orchesella cincta Ocin01_Sc6959, whole genome shotgun sequence.
GCGUUGAUGGUGUAAUGGUUAGCAUUGGUGCCUUCCAAGCACUAGAUCCGAGUUCAAUUCUCGGUCAACGCA